rnacentral:rRNA from 1 species
UGGGGAAUCUUGGACAAUGGGGGCAACCCUGAUCCAGCCAUGCCGCGUGAGUGAUGAAGGCCUUAGGGUCGUAAAGCUCUUUCGCCUGUGAAGAUAAUGACGGUAGCAGGUAAAGAAACCCCGGCUAACUCCGUGCCAGCAGCCGCGGUAAUACGGAGGGGGUUAGCGUUGUUCGGAAUUACUGGGCGUAAAGGGCGUGUAGGCGGCUUGAUAGGUCAAAGGUGAAAGCCCUCGGCUCAACCGAGGAACUGCCUUUGAAACCAUCUAGCUCGAGGCCGGGAGGGGGUAGCGGAAUUCCUGGUGUAGCGGUGAAAUGCGUAGAUAUCAGGAGGAACACCAGUGGCGAAGGCGGCUACCUGGACCGGUUCUGACGCUGAGGCGCGAAAGCGUGGGGAGCAAACAGGAUUAGAUACCCUGGUAGUCCACGCUGUAAAACGAUGGGUGCUCGGUGUUGCGGGUGUUGACCCCUGCAAUGCCUUAGCUAACGCGUUAAGCACCCCGCCU